AUUGAACGCUGGCGGCAUGCCUUACACAUGCAAAUCGAACGGUAACGGGCCUUCGGGUGCCGACGAGUGGCGAACGGGUGAGUAAUACAUCGGAACGUGCCCGAUCGUGGGGGAUAACGAGGCGAAAGCUUUGCUAAUACCGCAUACGAUCUACGGAUGAAAGCCGGGGACCGCAAGGCCUUGCGCGGACGGAGCGGCCGAUUGCAGAUUAGGUAGUUGGGGGGAUAAAAGCUUACCAAGCCGACGAUCUGUAGCUGGUCUGAGAGGAUGAUCAGCCACACUGGGACUGAGACACGGCCCAGACUCCUACGGGAGGCAGCAGUGGGGAAUUUUGGACAAUGGGCGCAAGCCUGAUCCAGCCAUGCCGCGUGCAGGAUGAAGGCCUUCGGGUUGUAAACUGAUUUUGUACGGAACGAAAAGCCUUCUUUUAAUACAGGAGGGUCAUGACGGUACCGUAAGAAUAAGCACCGGCUAACUACGUG
rnacentral:rRNA from 1 species